UACAUAGGGGGCAAGCGUUGUCCGGAUUUAUUGGGCGUAAAGAGCGUGUAGGCGGCCUGACAGGUCUGCUGUGAAAACUCGAGGCUCAACCUCGAGAUGUCGGCGGAAACCGUCUGGCUAGAGUCCGGAAGAGGAGAGUGGAAUUCCUGGUGUAGCGGUGAAAUGCGCAGAUAUCAGGAAGAACACCUAUGGCGAAGGCAGCUCUCUGGGACGGUACUGACGCUGAGACGCGAAAGCGUGGGGAGCGAACAGG
rnacentral:rRNA from 1 species